ensembl:lncRNA
AAAUGUAUUUCUCCGCGCGCACACGUCUCACCCAGGACUAAGCUAUUUCAAACUUAUCAGCAGCUUUUCCGCCUGCAUACAACAUUCAUAGUAAAUUACAGGGGCAAAUGACAAGCUAAGGAUCAUUAAGCACGGCCAAUCACAGGACACAGUGGAACCUCCAGCUAGCCAAUGGAUGCACCGGCAGACAGAGCUCCUUAAAGAUGCAUUAUGCUCGUCUGGAGAUGCGCGAUGUUCUCCUGGAGAUGCUGUGCACCAUGCAUGCGCAUCAUCCAAUGAACUGGCUGGUGAUUUCAGAGGACUGUCGUUCUGCACUGCUCGAGCUUAUUAGAUAUGCUGUCGGUGACGUCUUAGCGAAUAUCUAAAUGUCACAUACAGUCUGACCCUAACCGCUGGAUUCUUAUGCAACAUCACGUUUCCUUUCAUCCGGAUUCCGAAUGAUCCGAUGCGCAAAUGGAAACGCUCUCAACAUCUGGCACUCGAAUCUGUCCCGUAUCAUCAUCUCAGGAGCGAAUCAUUUGGACGCAUGCUGCGCUUUGGGACACCCAGUUCCUCGCGAACAUUAAUUGCAAUGCCACUCAUUACAGGCGCAAACAGAUGUUAUAUAAGGGUCUCUCUGCUUUGCAUUAUUUCAUGGGUCUCCUUCCCAAACAGACAGCCAGGGCUUGUCAGGCUAAUGAGGAGCAUCGAGUUCACUGUGUUCCCACAGUCCCCUGAACUUGUUUUUCCUUCCUACCCAUAAAUGACUCUUCUGAGGGUCCUCGGCUCCUCGCAGCCAUAGAAGAUGCCAUCAGGAGCCCAUAACGACACAGAAAACCAAACUGAACGUGAAGCACUCUGAAUGAUACUCCAAACCAACACAGCGUGCUUAUUCAUUCAUUUCAUCUCCGUGUUCUUGAGAAUGAACCCCAAGUGGAUUCACAGGCAGAAAUAACACAGCAUUUUGACCUUGGACUAGAAAUUGUGUGAAAGCAUGAAAUGAAACAAAUACCCACUGUGGCAUAAAAUUAUUUUCUAUUGGGGGUGAUAUGAUUGCGGAGAUAACAGAACGCAUUUCAAAUGCUUUAAAAUAAUGAAUUUGAUCAAUUACUGUAUAACUGUGUGCCAUUUAGCACCAACUACUAUUUAAAGAAGCAAUCAGAGGUUUGUGAACAGUAGAUGAACUUUACUGACAGUGCGCCAAACCUUUUAUUUACAGACUCUUCCACAAGAUCAGUCUCUGGGAGAGAGCCGGAAUCAUUGUGUAAUCCUGUCACACAUUUAUGAACGCAAUGAUGGUUUCGAGCAGCUCUGGGAGUUUGUGUGUGUGUGUGUGUGUGUGUGUGUGUGUGUGUGUGUGUGUGUGUGUGACUAGAGCUCAAUGCCAUAGCAACACACCAUCCACCAGGAGAAAUGUUUAACUGAGUCCAAUAAUGUGACUGAAAUAUUCUUUCUCCGAGGAAAUAUUUCCUCUCUAAUUGUCUCUCUUCUUAUAUGCUGGUAGCACUGGAAUGAAAAACAAUGCACGGACUGACCGUGUCUUUGAAAGCGCAAAUGUACAGUAUGUAAAGCAUCACACUCAUUAAAAUAUUUCUGUCUACCUCAAAGGAUUUUGAUCCUGUUUAUGGGCAGGAGCUCAUUUAUUCAGAGCAGAAAAACAGCACGAUGAGGACUUUAAUUAACGUGCUGUAGGCAGACUGGCCCCUGACAGCUCAGUUUAUUAUAACACCAAUGUGAGAUUACUGCUAUUAUUUUUAGCACCA